CUGAUUAUUAGCACCAUUCAUCGAAUGGUGGGUUAGCGCGCGUCUGAUCGCAGUGACAAUAACCCGCCCCACGAGGCGGGUUUU
rnacentral:sRNA from 3 species